rnacentral:rRNA from 1 species
GACGAACCGUACAAACGUUAUUCGGAAUCACUGGGCUUAAAGGGUGCGUAGGCGGCGGUGCAAGUUGGGUGUGAAAUCCCUCGGCUCAACCCGAGGAACUGCGCUCAAAACUGCAUUGCUUGAGGGAGAUAGAGGUGAGUGGAACUUAGGGUGGAGCGGUGAAAUGCGUUGAUAUCCUAAGGAACACCAGUGGCGAAAGCGACUCACUGGGUCUCCACUGACGCUGAGGCACGAAAGCUAGGG